rnacentral:rRNA from 1 species
GAUGAACGCUAGCUACAGGCUUAACACAUGCAAGUCGAGGGGCAGCAUGGUCUUAGCUUGCUAAGGCCGAUGGCGACCGGCGCACGGGUGAGUAACACGUAUCCAACCUGCCGUCUACUCUUGGACAGCCUUCUGAAAGGAAGAUUAAUACAAGAUGGCAUCAUGAGUCCACAUGUUCACAUGAUUAAAGGUAUUCCGGUAGACGAUGGGGAUGCGUUCCAUUAGAUAGUAGGCGGGGUAACGGCCCACCUAGUCUUCGAUGGAUAGGGGUUCUGAGAGGAAGGUCCCCCACAUUGGAACUGAGACACGGUCCAAACUCCUACGGGAGGCAGCAGUGAGGAAUAUUGGUCAAUGGGCGAGAGCCUGAACCAGCCAAGUAGCGUGAAGGAUGACUGCCCUAUGGGUUGUAAACUUCUUUUAUAGAGGAAUAAAGUCGGGUAUGGAUACCCGUUUGCAUGUACUUUAUGAAUAAGGAUCGGCUAACUCCGUGCCAGCAGCCGCGGUAAUACGGAGGAUCCGAGCGUUAUCCGGAUUUAUUGGGUUUAAAGGGAGCGUAGAUGGAUGUUUAAGUCAGUUGUGAAAGUUUGCGGCUCAACCGUAAAAUUGCAGUUGAUACUGGAUAUCUUGAGUGCAGUUGAGGCAGGCGGAAUUCGUGGUGUAGCGGUGAAAUGCUUAGAUAUCACGAAGAACUCCGAUUGCGAAGGCAGCCUGCUAAGCUGCAACUGACAUUGAGGCUCGAAAGUGUGGGUAUCAAACAGGAUUAGAUACCCUGGUAGUCCACACGGUAAACGAUGAAUACUCGCUGUUUGCGAUAUACAGCAAGCGGCCAAGCGAAAGCGUUAAGUAUUCCACCUGGGGAGUACGCCGGCAACGGUGAAACUCAAAGGAAUUGACGGGGGCCCGCACAAGCGGAGGAACAUGUGGUUUAAUUCGAUGAUACGCGAGGAACCUUACCCGGGCUUAAAUUGCAGAUGAAUUACGGUGAAAGCCGUAAGCCGCAAGGCAUCUGUGAAGGUGCUGCAUGGUUGUCGUCAGCUCGUGCCGUGAGGUGUCGGCUUAAGUGCCAUAACGAGCGCAACCCUUGUUGUCAGUUACUAACAGGUUCCGCUGAGGACUCUGACAAGACUGCCAUCGUAAGAUGUGAGGAAGGUGGGGAUGACGUCAAAUCAGCACGGCCCUUACGUCCGGGGCUACACACGUGUUACAAUGGGGGGUACAGAGGGCCGCUACCACGCGAGUGGAUGCCAAUCCCAAAAACCUCUCUCAGUUCGGACUGGAGUCUGCAACCCGACUCCACGAAGCUGGAUUCGCUAGUAAUCGCGCAUCAGCCACGGCGCGGUGAAUACGUUCCCGGGCCU